UACGAAGGGGGCGAGCGUUGUUCGGAAUUACUGGGCGUAAAGGGCGCGCAGGCGGCUCUGAAAGUCAGAUGUGAAAGCCCCGGGCUUAACCUGGGAAUUGCAUUUGAUACUCUGGAGCUUGAGUACGGGAGAGGAGAGUGGAAUUCCUGGUGUAGCGGUGAAAUGCGUAGAUAUCAGGAGGAACACCGGUGGUGCAGACGGCUCUCUGGACCGUAACUGAUGCUGAGACACGAAAGCGUGGGUAGCAAACAGG
rnacentral:rRNA from 1 species